CUCACAUUCACAUGAAUAUACAGGCAGCGUGUGAAUGGAAAAUAGGUAGAUAAGAAAAAUCACGUGAGAAUUAUCAUUAGAAAACGUUAGGGUUCACUCUGAUUUAAUGAAUUCUAGCUUUGUGAAUUGUAGGUUGCUCAACCAAUCUUUUUUUUCUCUGUGAAUGAUACAUGCAUUCUAGGGCUGUGAAGAAAAAGCAUAAAGCGUCUGAAGAGCCUGGUCUCCCGCGACUCUCCAACCAAGGCUGCCUCGCUUUGGACUCCCCCUCUUUUCCAUGAUAAUAACUGCGUAGCCUGCCUGCUCGCUGCUGCUGAAGUAGGAGGACCGCAGUGGCUACCUUAAAACCAGAGCCUUGUUCCUCUGCCAGCGAUUACACUCGCCGGCUCUCCAACAUCAGUCGCACUUCCGGAGAACACUUACACCUCUCAGAGAGAUGGAGGAGGGGUCUCUCGCUGGACCUGGAGUUCAUGGGUGAACCUACGCCGCCGUCUAGCUCAGCAGCUCCUCACCCAUCCCUCCACCCCGAACCCUCGCUGCGCGGCUGCAGACACCACUGCAAAGUCUGGCUUUAUGAGGGUGUUGAAGAUCCCCACUUAGAAUCCAUGCUUGUGCGAGAGACAUUCACCGGCUGGGCCGUCGCCCCAGCUCCCAACCCCAACGCUGGUGCUUUGAAGCUCUUCUAUGCCUGUAAUUGAGCAGUACACUCUCAAAUAAGAAAUGCUCACUAAAGACUUAACGAACGGGAGGAAAUGCAUGCGCUCAGUAAAUCGAAUCACACACGCACCUACAGAUGUUCUUAAAUCUAAGUAAAUCUAGUUGGUUGAGUCUCCCACUUCAUAUCUUUCCUUUUGAUUUGAUUUGAACAGAUUUAUGAAAAGUGAAGCCUCUAGUUUCAAAUCAUAAGGUAUCACUGAUGGAGUGAAAUUUUAUGUGCCAGUCUGAAAACACAAUAGUAGCUAUUAAUUUUUCCACUUAUCAGUAACAAGAACAUGUUAAUGGAAUAACUGCUCAGAUAUGUAAUGUUUGGCUUAAGGUUAUCAAAACAGUUUUCUAUGAAAAAUCGUAUCUGUAGUAAGUACAAAAAUGGACCCAAGGUAUCCGUUGUUUUAGAAUUCCUGUUGCCAUUGUUUGCUCCUUCUGGUGAAAAGCUUUGGAAAUGCAGUGCCUCAUGACUGGGUGUGAAAAUCCUAAUCUAAUCUCGUGUGAAAUCUCUCCCUCAAGGGAGACCAGAGAGAAGGAAGAGGAGAGAAGGGGGAGGGAGAGGGAACCCAAGUAGACUGAGCAAUAAUAUAAUUGUAAGGUCUUUAAAUCCACAAGAACACGGACUAAUGUUAACACAUGCUGUCUAGCAAGUCAUUCGCUGAGCUUGCAAGAGGACCAAGCCCUCAGGAUGGUCAGAGAUGAACUCCACAGUUCACAGACCAGGCCAAGCCGCUGAGGGACUCGCAUGUGUUCUUCGGGAAUUACACGACUACUGUGUACUCAUGCUACCCGAUACCCUAGUUAAUAAAACAUCUGUGAGACGUUAAAUUGA